rnacentral:lncRNA from 1 species
UGACAGCCUCAAAAAAACUAUUCAAACAGCUAGAACUUUCUAGCUUAUGCACUUCACCGACUUAAACAUUGCUAGAGGUAUCUAGCACAUUCAUGCUAUUAUCUUAUCAUAGGGACUGACUUAACAAAUGCUAGAAUUGUCUACCAUGAUCCAGCCACCUCACUUGCUUACUAGAAUAAUCUAGAACAUUUAUCAUGGGCUGGACGAUAUACCAACAUCACUUUGUGAGGAUCCCUAGCCAUUCAUCGUACAUCGUACGGCCAGUUUUCGUUAGAUGCUAUUUGCGUUUAAUUUUAAAUUAAAAAAGUCAAAUAAUUUUUUACUACACGAUACACGAUGAAUGACUAAAAUGUGGGGAUCUCUAGGAUCCCCACAAAGUGGAACCGGAUGGGAUCCAAUUCCCUUUUUUAGUAUUUGCAAUCCAAAAAGGCUGCAACUCUUUUAUCUAGUUGCUGAAAGUCUUAGAAGAUAUUUCGAGAAAUACUUACCUAUUUGUCCUAUUUAUACAUUUAUGUUUAUUUUAGACCAUCAGAUUAAAUAAAUCAAGAGAAUUAAUGAGCAAAAAGAAAUAGAGUAUGCAGAUUGAAUAAAUUAAGAUAAUUAAUGAACAAAAAGAAAUAGAAUAUGCAAAAGGAAAAAGAGAAAUGUGAAGAUCAUUUUCUUUCUUUGUUGUCUACCACUUCAUCAAUCUAAUCAUGUGAUGAAAGAGAGAAAUGAGCAUUCAACAUGUAUGUGAGUUUCUUUUGUAUACAAUGGCAUAUUUAGUGUCAUCGAGGCCAUUGAAGAUACUACUCGACUUUUAUUGAGAACUUACGUGAAAAUAAGUCUUGAUUGUAUCUCUAAUCACGUUUUUUAUUUUCUCAACAUAAAAUUCUAAACAUGCCAUUUUAAUAGUAAGUCAUCUUUUGUAUGACUAAUUGGAAUCAAGAGACUCAUUACCUUAAAAAAAUCAAGAAACUCGAAAAAGGAUGACGAAAAUUAAGAAAAUGUUGCAGUCCUAUUAGAUUAGGAAUGUGAUUGUAUAAAUCCUAUCAUAUAUGAAUAUCCUUAUGGGAUUCUACUAUUUCUCUUAGACUAGAUAUUAUUCAAUUAGAGUUGUAAUCCUAUUAGGGUAAGGAAUUUACCUUCCCUACUACUAUAAAUAAAAGCACAAUGGGUAAGAUAACACACACCUGAUAAUUAUACAUCUCUCUAUUUCAUUAUGUUGUUGCCGCACCCCCUCUCUCUGUCAUUUAUAUGAUUCAGUAAAUUAGGCUUACAACACGUUAUCAGCACGCUCCGGACACUGCGCUAAAGAAAGUUUGUUCUUCAAUCAGGAGGGUAUUGCAUUUUAAUCAUUUUUUAUGAGUAAUUUAUUACUUUAUUAAAUUGAUCUACAUGCUAUUGAUUCAAUUUAAUUUUUCUUUGUUGAACACGAUACAAAGCAUUGGAGAUAUAAUUCCAAUAUUCCAAGAAGGAUCUUCUACAACAUCAAAAGCUCAAAUAUUUUUUUUUUAUGCCAAUCAGAUUCUUUUAAAAUAAAUUAAG